UGACCAGACUCCUACGGGAGGCAGCAGUGGGGAAUAUUGCACAAUGGGGGAAACCCUGAUGCAGCGACGCCGCGUGAGUGAAGAAGUCUCUCGGUACGUAAAGCUCUAUCAGCAGGGAAGAAAAUGACGAUACCUGACUAAGAAGCCCCGGCUAACUACGUGCCAGCAGCCGCGGUAAUACGUAGGGGGCAAGCGUUAUCCGGAUUUACUGGGUGUAAAGGGAGCGUAGACGGCAGCACAAGUCUGGAGUGAAAGCCCGGGGCUUAACCCCGGAACUGCUUUGGAAACUGUGCGGCUGGAGUGCAGGAGGGGUAAGCGGAAUUCCUAGUGUAGCGGUGAAAUGCGUAGAUAUUAGGAGGAACACCGGUGGCGAAGGCGGCUUACUGGACUGUAACUGACGUUGAGGCUCGAAAGCGUGGGGAGCAAACAGGAUUAGAUACCCUGGUACUA
rnacentral:rRNA from 1 species